GAGCACGAAGCAGCAGUCCAGCCCCGACACAAUCUGACCCGCGGGCCCCUCCGUAGCUGGAGCUCCUCGGCUAGUAGGGUCCCCAACGGAUUAACGGCGGCGGCGGCGGCGACUGGCGGAAGUGACGCGCUGACUGACAGGAAGUGUCCACCUAACAGCAUCCAGAGACACUAUGGUGGAGCCA